rnacentral:rRNA from 1 species
CACGUAAUUAGCCGGGGCUUCUUACUCAGGUACCGUCAUUUUCUUCCCUGCUGAUAGAGCUUUACAUCACGAAUGACUUCUUCACUCACGCGGCGUUGCUGCAUCAGGGUUUCCCCCAUUGUGCAAUAUUCCCCACUGCUGCCUCCCGUAGGAGUUUGGGCCGUGUCUCAGUCCCAAUGUGGCCGUUCACCCUCUCAGGCCGGCUACUGAUCGUCGCCUUGGUGGGCUUCUACCCCGCCAACCAGCUAAUCAGACGCGGAUCCAUCUUACACCACCGGAGUUUUUCACACUAAGCCAUGCGGCUCCGUGCGCUUAUGCGGUAUUAGCACCUAUUUCUAAGUGUUAUCCCCCAGUGUAAGGCAGGUUAUCCACGCGUUACUCACCCGUCCGCCACUAAGUUACGAAUCACUAGGUUUCAUCGUAACUCCGUUCGACUUGCAUGUGUUAGGCACGCCGCCAGCGUUCAUCCUGAGCCAGGAUCAAACUCU